rnacentral:rRNA from 1 species
UACAGAGGCCUCGAGCGUUUAGGCGGAAUCACUGGGCUUAAAGCGUGUGUAGGCGGAUCGUUAAGUACCUUGUGAAAUCCCACGGCUCACCCGUGGAACUGCUGGGUAUACUGGCGAUCUUGGGCCAACUAGGGGCAGCUGGAACAAGCGGUGGAGCGGUGAAAUGCGUAGAUAUCGCUUGGAACGCCGAAGGUGAAAACAGGCUGCUGGGGUUGUGCCGACGCUGAGACACGAAAGCCAGGGGAGCAAACGGG